GAUGAACGCUAGCGGCAGGCUUAAUACAUGCAAGUCGUGGGGCAGCAGGACUGUAGCAAUACAGUUGCUGGCGACCGGCAAACGGGUGCGGAACACGUACGCAACUUACCCUGAACUGGGGGAUAGCCCGGGGAAACCCGGAUUAAUACCCCGUAAUAUAAUGGAGUGGCAUCACUUUAUUAUUAAAGCUCCGGCGGUUCGGGAUGGGCGUGCGGCUGAUUAGGUAGUUGGUUGAGGUAACGGCUCACCAAGCCUACGAUCAGUAACUGGUGUGAGAGCACGACCAGUCACACGGGCACUGAGACACGGGCCCGACUCCUACGGGAGGCAGCAGUAAGGAAUAUUGGGCAAUGGAGGCAACUCUGACCCAGCCAUGCCGCGUGGAGGAUGAAGGCCCUCUGGGUUGUAAACUUCUUUUUUAGGGGACGAAACCUGUGUAUUCUUACGCAGUUGACGGUACCCUAGGAAUAAGCACCGGCUAACUCCGUG
rnacentral:rRNA from 1 species